UUGUCCCUAGUUGCCUUUAUGCCUUCCCUGCUCCCCAGCUGGAGCAGUAGGAUGGACCUGGUUGGUAACACCCUGCCUUGCCACCCCCCAGGGAGCCCCUGAUGCCUCCAGCUCCCUGGGCCAAGAAGUUGCGAGCCCCUGCUGUACUGUGAGGUGUGGAGAAUCAUGGAAUUACAGAAUAAGCUGAGUUGGAAGGGACCCAUUAGGAUCACUGAGUCCAACUUCUGGUCCUGUGCAGUACCAUUCCCAAGAGUCACACCAUGUGCCCGGGAGUUUUUUGCAAACACUUUUUGAACUCUGUCAGGCUUGGUGCUGUGACCACUUCCCUGGGGAGCCUGUUACAGUGGCCAGCCUCCCUCUGGGUGAAGAACCUUAUUCUAAUAUCCAGUCUAAACUGAUAUAACUUCAGGCCAUUCCCUCGGGUCCUCUCACUGUUGACCACACAGAAGAGAUCAGUGCCUGCCCUCCUCUUCCCCUUAUGAGGAAGUUGUAACUGCAAUGAGGCCUCCACUCAGUCUCCUCUUCUCCUGAGUGAACAGACAAAGGGAUCUCAGCUGCUCCUCAUAUGGCUUCCCCUAAGGCCCUUCAUUAUCUUGCCCUUGUCUGGACACUCUCUAAUAGUUUAAUACCUUUAUUACAUUGUGGUGCCCAAAACUGCCCCCAGCACUUGAGAUGAGGCUGUCUCAGCUCAGAGCAGAGCAGGACAAUCCCCUUCCUUGCCCGGCUGGCCAUGCUGUGCCUGAUGCCCCCCACACUGACCCUCCUCAUUGCCAGGGCACUGUGGACUCAUGUUCAACUUUCCAUAGACCAGGACCCUCACAUCCCUUCCAGCUUCUCAUUCCCCAGUUUGUCCAUACCUCCAAGGUAACCCCAUCCCAGGUACAGAAUCCAGCACUUUCACUUGAUGAACUUGAUCUGGUUGGUGAUUGCUCAGCCCUCUGAUUUUUUGAGGUCUCUCUGUAGAACCUCCCUGCCUUUGAAGGAGUCAACAGCUCCUCCCUUUCCAUCAUCUACAAACUUGCUCAGUCCCAUCCAGUCCUGUAUCCAAGCCAAUUAUGAAGAUGUUAGAGAGCACAGGGCCAAGGAUGGAGCCCUGUGGAACCCCACUAGUGACAGGUCACUGAUGUCACCCCAUUCACUGUAACCCUUUGUGCCUGACCCGUGAACCAGCUGCUCACCCAUCACACCAUGAUGUUUUUAUCCAGCUGUGUUGGACACUUUGUCCAGAAGGAUCCUGUGAGAGACAGUAUCAAAAGCUGUACUGAAAUCCAAAAACAUUGCAUCAACCGGCUUCCCUUGAUCAGCUAGCCUGACCUCCAUGUCAUUGCAACUUGCAAAAGGAGUCUGCUUGAAGGAAGCCUAGAGACUUCUUGAAGAGUUGACCUUCCUAUUGAAGUUAAUAUUGGCUGUUCCCAUCAAACUACAUCUUCCCAAGAGGAUAUAAAAAAUAGUAUCUUCAAAACCAAAUAAAAGAACUAAGGAAUUUUAAAUGCUGACCCGUUCAAUCAAAUAAACUUGAGCUGCAAAAUGAUGAAAAGCACUGAGAAUGUUCUGAUGGAGAACAACUAAUCCAUAUUGUUGUCAUGGCAACCAGAAUGAAUGCAAACUCAUUUUUACACUAGAAGUUGAAAACAUUACUGUCAGAGGUCUGAUAUGCAUCCCUUGUCUCUCUCAUAUGGACACUGUCAAACAUGCAUUAGUACUGCCCUUCAUGUGCACUUCUGCAGUGUGAAUGCACUUUUCCACUCUACAGCCUUGGGAUAUGGACAUGUACUUUCACUGCUCCUUCUAAAAGUCAUCUUUGGACAAAAGCACAGUGAUU